UGUGGGAAAUAGUGACUGCGAAGAAUCCAGUUUUCGAAUUCAAAGAUAAACAACCUUCGACUAUUAUGAAAAUUAUUAAUGAUACUAUACAGACUGGAAGCUCAGAUAUCCGUAAAAUAAGAAACGCUAUUGAAGACUGCCUGGAACCUGCAGAAUACCGUCCAGAUACUAAGGAGCUGAUUGAAAUGUUAAUUUCUUAACUUAUUGACUUCACUAGUCAAUCUGUGGAAUAUGUGAUGAAAGCUACAGUCUAUGCGACUCUGAGAUAGCCUCUAUCCAUCUUCAAUGAAAGCAAAACAGUACGAUACUAUAGUAAACAUAUUUCGAGAAAUACUAAAAUUAUACAUAACAAAUAUACUAUGGAAUAUAAAAUAUCAAA